UUUUAUGAAACUAAUGCUGUGAAUAUGUUAGAAAUGUCUAAAAUAGGAUGUACGCAAAAAAUAAGGAAAAAACACUGUUUGGGGGUCGAAACCUAAGUUUCCAUCAAACCGGGAAAAAUUCUCUGGUUUCUUAAAAUUCCCAGAGAGUAUGGCUUGGUCAGCGGCAUAAAGGCACAUUCGAACUGUUCAACGACUCAAGGAUGAGCGGCUAUAGGCCCAAAGAGUGUUGGUGGAGGGAGGAGGAGAAAACGUAUCGAUCUGGAAGCAGGUUGGAGCAACGGUCGGCAGGCAACAAAAAGCCAAACCCGAUCAGAGCACCAACUCAAGGAUGAGCUGCUGCAAGCCUAGAGAACAUCGGCAGAGGGAGGAGCCAACGAAUCAAUCUGGGAGGAUCAGGAGAACCCCGACAAGACCACCAAGGACAAGCUCAGAGCUGCGGCAAGGCCAACAACACAAAUCCACGCCUGAUGAGCAGCUACUCAAUUCUCACCUGAUCUGAGUCAAGACGGGAGAGGAAUGACUGAGGAGACGGCAAGGGGUGGAUCACGACCUACCGAACGUGUGAGACCAAAGAAGAAGAAGAAAAAAGUUGAGAGGGAGAGGGUGAGGGGGUGAAGAAGAAAAGAGAAAAGAGCAGAGGAUGAGAGGGAGAGGACCAGAGAAAGAGAAGGGAGAAUAAGAGAGGGGGGAGCAGCUUGGCGUGAGGCCAGGCUGCUCCAAGCGGUGGCCAGAUUAGGUUUCUCUUGGAGUUCCUACGAAGCGAUGGAAAGGGUUCUAUCUGUUCUCGAGGACGAUUGAUCUAUUUGUUGCCCUAGAGUAAAAA